GCCGUGGUAGCAGCAGGGGUGGCUGGAGCCCCAAGCCCUUUAAAUCGCCACCAGAGCCCCUGGCAGGGCAGGCCAGACAGUGCUGAAGGGCUAGCUGGGGAAGUCUGGCCCCAGCCCCACCCCUUCCUCCCAAGGGCCUGCCCCUUCUGAGGGCCCAGAGCCGCCCCCUUCCCUGCACCACACAUACACCUUGCCCAGGACCCUGACUCCCCUGCAUACCGGUUUGAAUUUGACAAUGAUUCAAGGAGGAAUUAUUGAUGGUUGCUCUGGACUACAUUCAACAAAUCAGAGAUAUGAAAUGCAUAUUCAAACUUCCCAGCCUUAGGAGGGGACUUGCACAGAGACAUGGGCUGCUGCUGCAUUAACAGUUUUUAUAAGGAAGAUUAUAAGCAUUAAUGAAACACACACUGGAAAAUCCACACCAAAAACCACCUGCUUUAUCAAGAAGAGAAAUUGUGAUCUUACUGUGGAAUGCAACAAAAUUGCAUACAGUGUAUUCUGCACAUUUUAGGUUAUCAUUCAAGAUUUAAUCGGAAACAUUAAUUCAUGCUACCAUGGACAUAAAUACUAUGUUCCAAUCUUGGUUUGUUUUUUGAUUAAUCAUAUACCUUAAUAUUACAUUCAUAUUUAUGGCAUAAGGGUAUAAUUUAAAUAUAUAGGAUUUGUAGUAUGAUCAAAUUAACAUUACUGUCUGAAUUUUUAAUUUUCAGAUUUCCUGACUUCCUGCUACUUUAAUUGUGCAACCUACAGGGGCCCGAUAAUUUUUUUUUAAAUCAUAUUGAAGUGAGAGUUUUUUAAAUCUACUACUGCUACAACAGGUAUAACUAAAAAGUGGAAGAGAUCUUUUAUGUGCAGUUGACAGCAUUUUCUGUCCAUUAAUUUCACUGUUGCCCCAACAUAGUCAGUUUUGUGCCUAUUUGUGUGGGCUUUUAAAAUACUGUUGUCUGAAACAGAAUAGGAAAAUGAGUUUCUAAAGCCACAGAAGUUGGCAAGGAGACCACAACCUGUAGUCACUUAUUUCAGAGUAGCAGCCAUGUUAGUCUGUAUUCGCAAAAAGAAAAGGAGUACUUGUGGCACCUUAGAGACUAACAAAUUUAUUAGAGCAUAAGCU